GACGAACGCUGGCGGCGUGCUUAACACAUGCAAGUCGAACGGUAAGGCCCUUCGGGGUACACGAGUGGCGAACGGGUGAGUAACACGUGGGUGAUCUGCCCUGCACUUCGGGAUAAGCCUGGGAAACUGGGUCUAAUACCGGAUAGGACCCUGGGAUGCAUGUCCUGGGGUGGAAAGCUUUUGCGGUGUGGGAUGGGCCCGCGGCCUAUCAGCUUGUUGGUGGGGUGAUGGCCUACCAAGGCGACGACGGGUAGCCGGCCUGAGAGGGUGACCGGCCACACGGGGACUGAGAUACGGCCCAGACUCGUACGGGAGGCAUCAGGGGGGAAUAUUGCACAAUGGGCGCAAGCCUGAUGCAGCGACGCCGCGUGAGGGAUGACGGCCUUCGGGUUGUAAACCUCUUUCAGCACCGACGAAGCGCAAGUGACGGUAGGUGCAGAAGAAGGACCGGCCAACUACGUGCCAGCAGCCGCUGUAA
rnacentral:rRNA from 1 species